AUCUGUUCCUGGACUACAACUCCCAUCAUCCCCUGCUCGCUGGGAAUGAUGGGAGUUGUAGUCCAGGAACAGAU